rnacentral:lncRNA from 1 species
GGGGAGUUGAGGGAGUAGAGACAGAGAAAGGCAGGGCAGGGUGUGUGUGGAUAGAGGAGUAGAGGCUGGCCAUGAGCAUGAGGAGAGAGGGGGGGAAGGGGAUGGGGUAAGGGGUGAGAGCAAGAAGGCAAGAGAGAGGGGAGGGGGCAAGCAGCCCCUUUUGUAGUGAGUCAGGCACACCUGGCUGUUGCCAGGUAACUGGGGCAGAGCCUAGACAAAAAGCCAACAGACUGGAGAGUAUAUUAGUCUCUAGUUGUUGCUACCACACCCUGCAAACUUAGUACUUGAAACCAGCAUGGGAGUGUUGACUCACAGUCCUGGAUGUCAGAGACUGAAACCAGUGUCACUGGGCUAAAGUUGAGGCAGAGUCCCAGAGGAGACACACUACCACUACCUUAAGAGUGGGAUCACAGAGCCUUCCACACAGCUGUGGGCAGAUGACAGCUCAUGUAUCUGAGUGGGCUGUCAUCAACCUCUUCCCAUGCUUGUUGCUGCCUGUCACUUGGUAACUCUCCCUUGGAGAACUGCACAUUGUGUGGUGAAAAGCUCGAUGAAUUCCCAGCAUUCCUCUCCGUAGCAGCCGAGUUUUGUCAAGCUUGGGACUGGUGAUUGAUCGGGACACUUGGGAAAACUGCAACAAACCAGUCUUGACCACAUUUGUCUGCUGUGGCAUGUUCUGUUGCCGGCAGCUGGAGAUGCCGGGAUAAUAGGAAGAUGACAUCUGUAUCCGUUGAAAUGCCAUGACCAAAAGCAACUUAAGGAAAUUUACUUUGACUUAUGAUCCAUAACGGUAAUGAAUGCAUGGCGGGAGAUAGACAGUGUGGAAAGCUGAGGUUGUGUCUCAACCACACAGGGAGCAGAGAGAGGAAGAGGGAACCGAGACACAGCUAUACACUCUCAAAGCUCGCCCCUUGUCAUGGACUUCUGAGAGCAAAGCUCUACCAUCUAAAGGUUCUAUAACCUCCACAAACAGACUAUUAACUGAGAACUACCGAGUGUUCACAUACCCAUGUCUGUGGUAUUGUUUUAUGACUUACUGGGUGAUUUUCAGGGACAGUAUUCCCAAAAGUAUGUGAUUAGGAGACUCAGGCCAUACAUUAGCCAAUCUUGUGGUUUCUAAUUGUAGCAGGCUUUGGGACCCAGAAGGAAGGUCAUUCUCAGCUCAGUGUUCUUUGUUCUUGUAACUUGGUGCUCCUCUGGCUUUCUGUAUCUGGUGAUGGGUGGAUGUCACUGGUCUUGGUGUGAUUUUGGCUUUCUGUAUCUGGUGAUGGGUGGAUGUCACUGGUCUUGGUGCUCCUCUGGCUUUCUGUAUCUGGUGAUGGGUGGAUGUCACUGGUCUUGGUGUGAUUUUGGCUUUCUGUAUCUGGUGAUGGGUGGAUGUCACUGGUCUUGGUGCUCCUCUGGCUUUUUGUAUCUGGUGAUGGGUGGAUGGAUGUCUCUGUUUUG